AAUGAUGAGCCUGAUUAAAGGACUAUCGUGAUAGGAUAAAACAUGUAGCCGAAACUACCUUCAUUA
rnacentral:tRNA from 2 species